GAUGAACGCUGGCGGCGUGCCUAAUACAUGCAAGUCGAGCGAACGGACGAGAAGCUUGCUUCUCUGAUGUUAGCGGCGGACGGGUGAGUAACACGUGGAUAACCUACCUAUAAGACUGGGAUAACUUCGGGAAACCGUAGCUAAUACCGGAUAAUAUUUUGAACCGCAUGGUUCAAAAGUGAAAGACGGUCUUGCUGUCACUUAUAGAUGGAUCCGCGCUGCAUUAGCUAGUUGGUAAGGUAACGGCUUACCAAGGCAACGAUGCAUAGCCGACCUGAGAGGGUGAUCGGCCACACUGGAACUGGAACACGGCCCAGACUCCUACGGGAGGCAGCAGUAGGGAAUCUUCCGCAAUGGGCGAAAGCCUGACGGAGCAACGCCGCGUGAGUGAUGAAGGUCUUCGGAUCGUAAAACUCUGUUAUUAGGGAAGAACAUAUGUGUAAGUAACUGUGCACAUCUUGACGGUACCUAAUCAGAAAGCCACGGCUAACUACGUG
rnacentral:rRNA from 1 species